rnacentral:sRNA from 1 species
UGCCCUUGGACACAAAUAUAUCAUGAGUGAACAUGGAGACAGGAAGCAAAAAAGUUGUGCCAGCUGUGGGGUACUACAAAGCAUUGUAUUUUUCAAUUUUUUAACUAUGAAGUUGCCUUUUCUGGGUCUUUGUAGUCAGAAAAAAAUCAUACGGUGAAUUUUGAUGCAGGAGCUGAUAGACUACCUGCGAACACAUUCUCAUAGUGCAGUGUAUGCCACGUCAUUGUCACCUCCUGUAGUGGAGCAGAUCAUCACCUCCAUGA